GGCGCGCUGCGGAAACAAGCCUGCAGUCCCGCGGGCCUGGUCCCAGGCUGCUUGGGUUGUGCGGGUACCUGGUCCCCCAGGGCGGAGCCGCAGCGCUCCUGGUCUGCGGGACGUGGCCCUGUAGCUGGAACCUGGCGCAACUCAGAGAGCUGUCCUCGCAGAGGCGCUGGUCCCAGACCUGCGGCUCCUACCCCGGCCGGCGCUGGCUGGAGGCUUUAGGUUCAUUCUUGUAAGUGUUGCUGGUGUCAGAAUAGGAACCUCCCUGCGCUUUGAAGGGAUGAAUGUGACCUCUCCCACAUUCUCCGGUGCUGUGAUGUACCUUAAACACAGCAAGGUACUUGGACACAAAGCCUGUGCCUGGAGCCCUUAUGCACUUUCAGACAGACAGUGCAUGGCCCUCGCUACAGACUCAGUGCCAUUGUAGAUGUUUCUGCAUGGAAAAUACAUAAACACAAAUAUCUGCAGUUGCCAAUCCACCACCAUCUUGCAGCCCCAAGAGAGCCCCGGGAAUCCAGGUUCCUUUGGUAUUUCUGCUCCCUGCCCUUGGUGCAUAGCCUCCAUCCCCAGGACGACAAGAGGGCUGACUGAGCCCUAACAUCAUCCCACAGUCCAGCUGGGAAGAGAGCCAGCGACAAAGCCAGAGGGAGCUAGCUCCCACACCUCCCAGCCCCAGCUGAGUUCGCUUCUUGAGGGUAUUUUCUGGAAGCCCCGCCUGUGACUUCUGCUGACACCUCACUGGCCAUCUCAACUGCAAGGCAGCCUAGGAAAUGUAGUGCUUACCUGUACACGUGGAUUCCUGGAAUCAAUUCAGGGACACCUGGCCUGGGUGGAGCCCACUCCUCAGCACCCACCUCACUUCUGGCAGUAUUCUGCAGACCCCAGCCCUGUGCCUGUGCUCCUGCACAGCUGGAGAUAAGGAGUGGGCCCUGGAAGAUGCUCAGUCAGGCCCUGCUCCAGAUUUUAGUUUCGCGGAUAAGCACCACUAUGUGUCUCUGCUCUUUUUGUUUUGCUGUAAAGACACAUUGAUAGGUUAAAAUUGUUGUUUGUGCACAACACGGAUCAUGUAGCGUCUUCACAUUAACCCCUAGUUACACUCUCUAAGUUGUCUAUUUUCUUCCCCCAAUAUUUUUAUUGUUAUAAAAAUACACCGAAUAUAAAAACCUUAACCAGGCCAGCCGCAGUGGUUCACACCUGUAAUCCCAGCACUUUGGGAGGCCAAGACGGGUGGAUCACUUGAGGUCAGGAGUUUGAGACCAGCCUAACCAACAUGGCGAAACCCCGUCUCUACUAAAAAUACAAAAGUUAGCGGCGCAUAGUGGCGCCUG
rnacentral:lncRNA from 10 species